rnacentral:rRNA from 1 species
UGACGAGUGGCGGACGGGUGAGUAAUGCAUAGGAAUCUACCCAGUAGUGGGGGAUAACGUGAAGAAAUUCACGCUAAUACCGCAUAUGUCCUACGGGACAAAGCAGGGGACCUUCGGGCCUUGCGCUAUUAGAUGAGCCCAAGUCGGAUUAGCUAGUUGGUAGGGUAAAGGCCUACCAAGGCGACGAUCCGUAGCUGGUCUGAGAGGAUGAUCAGCCACACUGGGACUGAGACACGGCCCAGACUCC